rnacentral:rRNA from 1 species
GGAGUUAGCCGGUGCUUCUUCUGUGAGUGAUGUCCUUCCUGCCGGCUAUUAACCCGCAGGCCUUCUUCCUCACUGAAAGUGCUUUACAACCCGAAGGCCUUCUUCACACACGCGGCAUGGCUGGAUCAGGGUUGCCCCCAUUGUCCAAUAUUCCCCACUUCUGCCUCCCGUAGGAGUCUGGGCCGUGUCUCAGUCCCAGUGUGGCUGAUCAUCCUCUCAGACCAGCUACGGAUCGUCGCCUUGGUGAGCCGUUACCUCACCAACCAGCUAAUCCGACAUAGGCUCAUCCGAUAGCGCGAGGCCCGAAGGUCCCCCGCUUUCCCCCGUAGGGCGUAUGCGGUAUUAGCCUGGGUUUCCCCAGGUUAUCCCCCACUACCGGGCAGAUUCCUAUGCAUUACUCACCCGUCCGCCGCUCGCCACCAGGGAGCAAGCUCCCCGUGCUGCCGCUCGACUUGCAUGUGUUAGGCCUGCCGCCAGCGUUCAAUCUGAGCCAGAAUCGAACCCUGA